GCGUCGAAGGCGUACCGUGAGGUAUUCUGGAGCGUCUGGAAAAGCAAAUGUAGGUAUAAGUAACGAUAAAGGGGGCGGGAAACCCCCUCGCCGAAAGACUAAGGUUUCCUGAUCAACGCUAAUCGGAUCAGGUCAGUCGGGUCCUAAGGCUCAGCCGAACGGCGAUGCCGAUGGCAGAAACGGUUAAUAUUCCGUUACUACCUUCAGGAGUGACGUGGAGACGCAGUAGUGACAGUGCCGCCAUCUGACGGAAUAGAUGGUUGAAGGGUGUAGGAGUCGAUCAUGGCAGGCAAAUCCACCAUGAGAUCCGAACCUGAUAGUAUGCCGCGUCCUUCGGGACAAGGCAAUAGUGCGCGUAAGCAUGCUGCCGAGAAAAUCCGCUAAACUUAAUCCUGUAGGUACCCGUACCGCAAACGGACACACGUAGUCGGGAUGAAUAUUCUAAGGCGCUUGAGUGAUUCACGGUUAAGGAACUAGGCAAACUGACCCUGUAACUUCGGGAUAAAGGGUCCCUACCUUUUAUGGGAGGGCGCAGAGAAUCGGUCCAGGCAACUGUUUAACAAAAACACAGGCUGUGCCAAAUCGAAAGAUCCAGUAUACAGCCUGACACCUGCCCGGUGCUGGAAGGUUAAGAGGAGAUGUCAUCGAUAAGAGAAGCGUUGAAUUGAAGCCCCAGUAAACGGCGGCCGUAACUAUAACGGUCCUAAGGUAGCGAAAUUCCUUGUCGGGUAAGUUCCGACCUGCACGAAUGGUGUAAUGAUCUGGACGCUGUCUCAACCGUGAGCUCAGUGAAAUUGUAGUAUCGGUGAAGAUGCCGAUUACCCGCGAUGGGACGAAAAGACCCCGUGAACCUUUACUAUAGCUUAUCAUUGAAUCUGGGCACGUGAUGUGUAGGAUAGGUCGGAGGCUUUGAAGCAGGUACGCCAGUAUUUGUGGAGCCGCUGUUGAAAUACGACCCUUUAUUUGUUUGGAUUCUAACCCGUGGAUACGGGGACAUUGAUUGGUGGGUAGUUUGACUGGGGUGGUCGCCUCCAAAAGCGUAACGGAGGCUUCUAAAGGUGCCCUCCGGCCGAUUGGUAACCGGCCUUAGAGUGUAAUGGCAUAAGG
rnacentral:rRNA from 1 species